GUCCACGCCGUAAACGAUGUCUACUAGUUGUCGGGGGUCUUGUAUCCUUGGUAACGAAGCUAACGCGAUAAGUAGACCGCCUGGGGAGUACGGCCGCAAGGUUAAAACUCAAAUGAAUUGACGGGGGCCCGCACAAGCGGUGGAGCAUGUGGUUUAAUUCGAAGCAACGCGAAGAACCUUACCUGGCCUUGACAUCCUGCGAACCCUUUAGAGAUAGAGGGGUGCCUUCGGGAACGCGGUGACAGGUGCUGCAUGGCU
rnacentral:rRNA from 1 species